rnacentral:rRNA from 1 species
AUUGAACGCUGGCGGCAGGCCUAACACAUGCAAGUCGAGCGAGCGGCGGACGGGUGAGUAAUGUAUGGGGACUGCCCGAUGGAGGGGGAUAACUACUGGAAACGGUGGCUAAUACCGCAUACUAUCGGAUAACCCAUAUGGGAUUAGCUAGUAGGUGGGGUAACGGCUCACCUAGGCGACGAUCUCUAGCUGGUCUGAGAGGAUGAUCAGCCACCAUGGGACGGAGACACGGCCCAGACUCCUACGGAGGCAGCAGUGGGGAAUAUUGCAAAAUGGGCGCAAGCCUGAUGGAGCCAGGCCGCGUGUGUGAAGAAGGCCUUAGGGUUGUAAAGAACUUUCAGCGGGGAGGUGUUACCCGCAGAAGAAGCACCGGCUAACUCAGUGCCAGCAGCCGCGGUAAUUC